AAUGAACGCUGGCGGCAGGCCUAACACAUGCAAGUCGAGCGAAGUCUUCGGACUUAGCGGCGGACGGGUGAGUAACCCGUGGGAACAUGCCCUUUGGUGCGGAAUAGCCCCGGGAAACUGGGAGUAAUACCGCAUGUGCCCUUCGGGGGAAAGAUUUAUCGCCAAAGGAUUGGCCCGCGUUGGAUUAGGUAGUUGGUGGGGUAAUGGCCUACCAAGCCGACGAUCCAUAGCUGGUUUGAGAGGAUGAUCAGCCACACUGGGACUGAGACACGGCCCAGACUCCUACGGGAGGCAGCAGUGGGGAAUCUUAGACAAUGGGCGCAAGCCUGAUCUAGCCAUGCCGCGUGAUCGAUGAAGGCCUUAGGGUUGUAAAGAUCCUUCAGUGGGGAAGAUAAUGACGGUACCCACAGAAGAAGCCCCGGCUAACUCCGUG
rnacentral:rRNA from 1 species